rnacentral:rRNA from 1 species
AGGAAAAGAAACCAACUGGGAUUACCUUAGUAACGGCGAGUGAAGCGGUAAAAGCUCAAAUUUGAAAUCUGGUACUUUCAGUGCCCGAGUUGUAAUUUGUAGAAUUUGUCUUUGAUUAGGUCCUUGUCUAUGUUCCUUGGAACAGGACGUCAUAGAGGGUGAGAAUCCCGUUUGGCGAGGAUACCUUUUCUCUGUAAGACUUUUUCGAAGAGUCGAGUUGUUUGGGAAUGCAGCUCAAAGUGGGUGGUAAAUUCCAUCUAAAGCUAAAUAUUGGCGAGAGACCGAUAGCGAACAAGUACAGUGAUGGAAAGAUGAAAAGAACUUUGAAAAGAGAGUGAAAAAGUACGUGAAAUUGUUGAAAGGGAAGGGCAUUUGAUCAGACAUGGUGUUUUUUGCAUGCACUCGCCUCUCGUGGGCUUGGGCCUCUCAAAAAUUUCACUGGGCCAACAUCAAUUCUGGCAGCAGGAUAAAUCAUUAAGAAUGUAGCUACUUCGGUAGUGUUAUAGCUUUUUGGAAUACUGUUAGCCGGGAUUGAGGACUGCGCUUCGGCAAGGAUGUUGGCAUAAUGGUUAAAUGCCGCCCG